rnacentral:tRNA from 1 species
AAUUGAUUAGCUUAUAGCAAAGCAUAUAUUUUGAAAAUAUAAGAAAGAAAAAAUUUAUCAAUUU